rnacentral:rRNA from 1 species
UUGUCCGGAAUUAUUGGGCGUAAAGGGUUCGUAGGCGGUUUGUCACGUCGGGAGUGAAAACUCGGGGCUUAACCCCGAGCCUGCUUCCGAUACGGGCUGACUAGAGGUAUGCAGGGGAGAACGGAAUCCCUGGUGUAGCGGUGAAAUGCGCAGAUAUCAGGAGGAACACCGGUGGCGAAGGCGGAUCUCUGGGCCUUACCUGACGCUCAGGCACGAAAGCUAGGGGAGCGAGCAGG